ensembl:lncRNA
UUUUUUCUUGGUUAAUCUUGCUAAUGGUCUAUCGAUUUUAUUUUUCUUUUCAAAGAACCAGCUUUUUGUUUCAUUUAUCUUUUGCAUUUUUUUGUUGUGGUUUCAAUUUCAUUUAGUUCUGCUCUGAUCUUGGUUAUUUCCUUUCUUCUGCUGGGUUUGGGUUUGGUUUGUUCUUGUUUCUCUAGUUCCUUGAAGUGUGACCUUAGAAUGUCAGUUUGUGCUUUUUCAGUCUUUUUGAUGUAGGCAUUUAGGGCUAUGAACUUUGCUCUUAGAACUGCCUUUGCUGUAUCCCAGAGGUUAUGAUUGGUUGUGUCACCAUCAUCAUUCAGUUCAAAGAACAUUUUAAUUUCUAUCUUGAUUUUGCUUUUGACCCAGUGAUCAUUCAGGAGCAGGUUAUUAAUUUCCAUGCAUUUGCAUGGUUUUGAUGGUUCCUUUUGGAGUUGAUUUCCAGUUUUAUUCCACUGCGGUCUGACAGAGUGCUUGAUAUCAUUUCAAUUUUCUUAAAUUUAUUGAGGCUCGUUUUGUGACCUAUCAUAUAGUCUAUCCUGGAGAAUGUUCCAUGCACUGUUGAAUAGAUUGUGUAUUCUGCGGUUGUUGGAUGGAAUGUUCUACAUAUAUCCUUUAAGUCCAUUUGUUCCAAGGUAUAGUUUAAAUCCAUUGUUUCUUUGUUGACUUUCUGAAUUGAUGACCUGUCUAGUGCUGUCAGUGGAGCAUUGAAGUCCCCCACUAUUAUUGUGUUGCUGUCUAUCUCAUUUCUUAGAUCUAUUAGUAAUUGUUUCAUAAAUUUGGGAACUCCAGUGUUAGGUGCAUAUAUGUUUAGGACUGUGAUAUUUUCCUGUUGGUCAAGGCCUUUUACCAUUAUAUAAUGUCCCUCUUUAUCUUUUUUAACUGCUGUUGCUUUAAAGUUUGCUUUGUCUGAUGUAAGAAUAACUACUCCUGCUUGCUUUUGGUGUCCAUUUGCAUGAAAUGCCUUUUUCCACCCCUUACCUUUAAGUUUAUGUGAGUCCUUACGUGUUAGGUGAGUCUCUUGAAGGCAGCAGAUAGUACGUUGAAUUCUUAUCCAUUCUGCAGUUCUGUGUCUUUUAAGUGCAGCAUUUAGGCUGUUUACAUUGAAUGUUAGUACUGAGAUGUGAGGUACCAUUCCAUCCAUUGUGCUAUCUGUUGCCUGCAUACCUUGGUUUUCUGUUUUUGUUGUUGCUUUUCAAAUUGUAUUUUUCUUUUAGGUCCUGUGACAUUUAUGAUUUAAAGAAGUUCAUUUUGAUGUUUUUCCAGGAUUUCUUUCAAGAUUUGGAGUUCCUUUUAGCAGUUCUCAUAGUGGUGGCUUGGCAGUGGUGAAUUCUCUCAGUAUUUGUUUGUCUGAAAAAGACCAUGUCUUUCCUUAUAGAUGAUGCUUAGUUUCACUGGAUACAAAAUUCUUAGCUGAUAAUUGUUUUGUUUGAAAAGGCUGAAGAUAGGGCCCUAAUCUCUUCUAGAUUGUAGGGUUUCUGCUGAGAAAUCUGCUGUUAAUCUGAUAGGUUUUCCUUUAUAGGUUACUCGGUGCUUUCGUCUCACAGUUCUUAAGAUUCUUUCUUUCAUCUUAACUUUAGCUAUCCUGAUGACAAUGUGCCUAGGUGAUGAUCUUUUUGUGAUGAAUUUCCCAGGUGUUCUUUGUGCUUCUUCUAUUUGGAUGUCUAGGUCUCUAGCAAGGACAGGCAAGUUUUCCUUGAUUAUUCCCCCAAAUAUGUUUUCCAAACUUUUAGAUUUCUCUUCUUCCUCGGGAAUGCUGAUUAUCCUUAGGUUUGGUCAUUUAACAUAAUCCCAGACUUCUUGGAGACUUUGUUCAUAUUUUCUUAUUCUUUUUUCUUGUAGUUCCUCAGGCUGUACGAGAAGCAUAGCAGCUUAUGCUCAGCUUCUGGGGAGGCCUCAGGAAACUUACAAUCAUGAUGAAAGGCAAAGGGAAAGCAGGCACGUCCUCACACAGCCAGAGCAGGAGGAAGGGAGGGUAAGUAGGAGGUGCUGCACACUUUUAAACAACCAGGUCUCAUAAGAACUCUAUCACAAGAAUAGCAUCAAAGGGAUGGUGCUAAACCAUUCACGAAGGAUCCACUCCCAUAAUCCAAUCACCUCCCACCAGGCCCAUUCUAACACUGGAGAUUACAAUUCAACAUGAGAUUUGGGUAGGGACACAAAUCCAAACCAUAUCACUAUUUCCACAGGAGUUAAAGUAUCUAGUUGACUAGCAACACUACAUGGAGGUAAUAUUAAAUAAUUCCCAGCUGUAUUUUGAGCCUUAGGCUGUAUUUCUCUAUUUACAGUUGAGGGCCUAAUAAGAAUUGUACUAGUUAACUCAUCACUAGACAUCGUUCUUUGCAGCACAUAUUAUGUUGUAGCACAUUUCUACUAUGUUCUAUCAACAGGAGAAGUUUUCAUGAUGACAGGAGGGUUUGUUGUCUGAUUCUCACAAUUUUUAGGUUACACACUCAACUUAAUCUGAGACAAAAUUCAUUUUACAAUUAUAUUUGUGGGCAUAAACCUGACUUUCUGCAACAUUUCCUUGGUUUAUCAGGCAUACCAUAACAAUACUCUAAUUAUCCUGAUGCACAUACAACAUGAAAAAUCAUCUUAUCAAUAGGCUCCUCUAUUUCACUAACAAAAUAUUAAUAAUUCUCAUAAUUUGAGAAGACUUUACUUCAAAAUGAGAAGCCUCAGUAGUGGUGCUUUCAUUACAGACUUUGAAUGACCUUAUGGCUGCCCACCCCCAUAUCAUGCAUUUGAAGAGCCUGCUUAUGUAAAAGCUUAAGAAAGGAAGGAAUCAAAAUCACAUAAACAAUUUCAAGCC